AAACUUUCAACAACGGAUCUCUUGGCUCUGGCAUCGAUGAAGAACGCAGCGAAAUGCGAUACGUAAUGCGAAUUGCANAAUUCAGCGAGUCAUCGAAUCUUUGAACGCACAUUGCGCCCGCCAGCAUUCUGGCGGGCAUGCCUGUCCGAGCGUCAUUU
rnacentral:rRNA from 1 species